rnacentral:rRNA from 1 species
UACGACUACAUAUCAGGCAUAUCAAUAAGCGGAGGAAAAGAAACUAACAAGGAUUCCCUUAGUAACGGCGAGUGAAGCGGGAAGAGCUCAAAUUUGAAAUCUUCAAGGUUUUACCUUGACGAAUUGUAGUUUAAAGAAGUGUUUUCUGUUGAAGUUUUGGUAAAAGUUCUUUGGAAUAGGACAUCAUAGAGGGUGAGAAUCCCGUAUUUGACCAUUAUUUCUAGCUGUGUGAUACACUUUCAAAGAGUCGGAUUGUUUGGGAAUGCAGUCCAAAAUGGGUGGUAAAUUUCAUCUAAAGCUAAAUAUUGGCGAGAGACCGAUAGCGAACAAGUACCGUGAGGGAAAGAUGAAAAGAACUUUGAAAAGAGAGUUAAACAGUACGUGAAAUUGUCAAAAGGGAAGCGUUUGACACCAGUGUUGUUUUCUCGAAAAUCAAUUAAAAAGAGUUGGAUUUUGUGUUGUAUUGACCUUAACAGCUUGCUUCACUCUUUUCCAGCUUUUUUUAAUGCACUUUUCGUUUAACAAGUCAACAUCAGUUUCUUUUGUUGUAAAAGGGUCAUUGGAAGGUGGCUUUCUCUUCGGAGAAAGUGUUUAUAGCCUUUGAUCUCUGCAAUCGGAGAGACUGAGGUCUGCAGCGUAGAUCCUUCGGGGUUAGAUACAUUUGUGCUAAGCUACAGCUUUUCAUAGACAACUUGUUGACUAUGUUUAGUCUUGUAACUUACCCGCUUAUGCUAUUUUACCUACGCUUAGGAUGUUGAGCGCAUGUCUCUCUCU